AAGCUUAGUAGGCACUGACAACAUGAAGGAUGAUGUGACAGCCCAGCAAGGCCAAUGUGGUCCCAAUCCAUUGACAAUGACCCCUGAUUCAUCACAUGCAUAGUGGAUUCAAGGCUGAUCUGGACCAGAUUGACACGGUACGGAGUUGCUGCUCCAUAAUAUCGACUGCAAUGAAAAGAGAAAAUAAGACUGCCAAUAUUAAAAACUAUCACCCUU